AUUGAACGCUGGCGGCAGGCCUAACACAUGCAAGUCGAGCGAGCGGCGGACGGGUGAGUAAUGUCUGGGAAACUGCAUGAUGGAGGGGGAUAACUACUGGAAACGGUAGCUCCUACCGCAUACCAUCGGAUGUGCCCAGAUGGGAUUAGCUAGUCGGUGGGGUAACGGCUCACCUAGGCGACGAACCCUAGCUGGUCUGAGAGGAUGACCAGCCACACGGGAACCGAGACACGGUCCAGACUCCUAAGGGACGCAGCAGUGGGGAAUAUUGCACAAUGGGCGCAAGCCAGAUACAGCCCUGCCGCGGGUAUGAACAAGGCCUUCGGGUUGUAAAGUACUUUCAGCGGGGAGGCGUUAGCAGCCGAAGAAGCACCGGCUAACUCCGUGCCAGCAGCCGCGGUAAUUC
rnacentral:rRNA from 1 species